rnacentral:lncRNA from 1 species
UCUCUUGUCUUCAUUCUGCUGCAGAGCUAACUUCUUCAGUUGCCUGCAGCAUCUCGAGUGCUCUUGUUCAUUCUCCAGUCUACUGGCUGUUAUUCCACCUCAAUUCCAAAUUCCUGGGAGAGAGAGAACCUGUGGGUUGCACUGUACCUACGGGAAUCCACUUCCUUCAGCCUCCCCCUUCUGGCCCAGAGGCACACUGCAGCUAUGUUGCUUUUUUUUUUUUUUUUCUAUCCUCAAGAUAGGAAAUGCAAAACAAAAACAAAAACAAAACCCCAUUACCUUUGGGGUGGAGCCAGGCGGCUGCCUGCAAAUGAACCUUAUUAGGGAAGCACUUGGCAGAAUCAGAAAGAACACCCAACACAGUGUGUGCUGUGUGGCAAAAGAAGAAAGUGCAAAGGAGUCCACUUUCUCAGAGGUCUAGCAGGUACCUUGCUUUAACCUUGCUGGUCAAGAUGACAGAUCAUUUACGUUAACGGGAGCAUGAUGGGGAAAUGCUCCAGGUCUAAGCUGGAAGUGCCAGGUGAUUUGGGCAGCUGAUAAUGAGGACCUGAAGCAAAAACCAAACAGCCAACACACCCAUCUGGAAGGCAUGAGGUUUCAAGGAAACAUGUUAAAACCACAUUGGUCCCUGUGUGGUACCCAAGAGAUGUUUGGUCAUACUGAAUUUUAAAAAAUUGUCUUCACAUUCUUCCCAG